UAGCAUCAAACUCAGAUGUUAAGCGUGAAGGAUAACGUUGCGUCAGCAACGGCCCGAAGGGCGAGGCGAAGCCGAGUCAUCCUGCACGACCCACCA
rnacentral:sRNA from 1 species